GAAAUAGAGUAUGAAGACGAAGGACUAGAUCCGAAGAACUUGACGAAAGGGACAUUUAUACGAUACAAUGUGCAAGAUUACAGCAGAAACAUUGACAGUGUUAAUUAUAAUGGUGUCACAAGACAAGUGCCAAAUGGCAUGGAUGUGUAUUUUUAGCACUUCAUUGAACAGCUUUAAAAUAUAAGAAAAACCGUAGGUCAGUGAAUGGGUUACCGAGCUCAUGGUAUGGACAUGAUUAAUUAUUAUUGGUGUGGAAGAAACGUAGAAGGAAGUUAAUUUUGGAAACCGGACAUUAUAUAAAUCGGUGUGAUCAGACAUAAAUGUAGUAGCCUUAUGAUUGUUUUUGGAUUGUCGUGUGAUUUCUGAACUGUAGAAAUAUAUUUUUAACCCGCUGUAUAUAUUAUGCUUAAAUAUUGAUAUUGGAGCUUUAAAUACAUGACAAUGACUAAUACAUCUAUUUCGCAUUUACAAUUGCAUUUAAAGUCUAUUUAUAAUGCAUGCAUUGCUAUCAAAUGCAAAAUGAAUAAAAAAAUGAAUGCAAAAUGCAUCGACUCAAUAUCGAAAUACUACAAUGUACACGCACAUUUACAUUACAGUUUCUUUGUUUAGAUUAUUUGCCAAAUCUAUGCAGCAAUGUUUAUAUUUUUGUAAUCAAAUUAUAUUUUUUUUAUUAAACUAUAUCGAAUGUCUUGAAGACUG
rnacentral:misc_RNA from 1 species